ACAUGAGUAGCGACAAAGAGUGUGAGAGACACUCUCGCCGAAAGUCCAAGGGUUCCUGCUUAAAGCUAAUCUGAGCAGGGUAAGCCGACCCCUAAGGCGAGGCCGAAAGGCGUAGUCGAUGGGAACCAGGUUAAUAUUCCUGGGCCAGGAGGAUGUGACGGAUUGUGGCGGCGUGCGUGCCUUAUCGGAUUGGCGCGUAUCCAAGACAGUCCCAGGAAAUAGCCCUCCAUGAGAUCGUACCCUAAACCGACACAGGUGGACUGGUAGAGAAUACCAAGGCGCUUGAUAGAACUCGGGUAAAGGAACUAGG
rnacentral:rRNA from 1 species